GCUUUGCGGCUGGAUCCCCUCCUUUCUAAGGAUUGCUUGUCGACAGCGCUGGGCUUCGCCCAUCCGCUUCUUCAAGCGCUUAGAAUCCAAAAGAGCUCUGCGGAUCUCACCGCGGAGCCAAAAUGGCGGAUCGCCGCCGUCUUCGUUUCUCUUUCCAAGUCCGCCCGCAUGACGGCACCGGUCGUCAUGCGUGCUGCAACGGCCCGCGCGGCUUUGUCGCGCAGGCGUCGGCGCGCGGUGUUUCGGGCCUGUAGCUCAGGUGGUUAGAGCGCACGCCUGAUAAGCGUGAGGUCGGUAGUUCGAGUCUACCCAGGCCCACCAUCGCUUCGCUGCAGGCGUCGUUUCAAAAGAUUGGGGCCAUAGCUCAGCUGGGAGAGCACCUGCUUUGCAAGCAGGGGGUCGUCGGUUCGAUCCCGACUGGCUCCACCAGAGCUUUGCAGCACAGAAGGCGGAUGAGAUGACAAGUUUUCCGGUUCGGGCUGCGGUCUGAGACGGAGAAGGACUUUGACAUUGUGAACGGAGGAUGCGUCCGCUUGGCCAAGCACAGGCCCAGGGCGCAUCGUAGAGACAUCCUGACUGACGGGCUCGGCGCGGUUGUUUCGCCAGGUCUGGAAUUUCGGUUCCAGAUGGGCGGAGCGUUCACCGUGCAUGAGCAUCGUUGAGAUCAAGCGUCAAAAGGGCGUUUGGUGGAUGCCUUGGCGAUAAGAGGCGAUGAAGGACGUGGCACGCUGCGUUAAGUCUCGGGGAGCUGCGAGCAGGCUUUGAUCCGAGAAUUUCCGAAUGGGGAAACCCGGAAGC
rnacentral:misc_RNA from 1 species